UACAAAACAAAAGCCCAAAUUUGUAAAUAUAUUGGACAGACAAAAUCACUCUGUCCAUUUACUAUUAAAAUUUAAAGUCUAUACUUAGCUCUUUGUGGAUCAACCACGGUUUAUAGAUCAACUGCCGUCUCUGAGCCACACUCAGGGCGUCACUGCCUUAGAGAGACCUCAAGUCAGAGCAAAAGACCAGCUACCGGGCUAAGUGGUUGUUAACACCCUGUGCCGAGUUCUCAUGGUAAUCCCAUGAGAAGGGCGAGAUGCAGUGAGCGAGAUGAGUCUGAAUCUCAGCAUUCCACCAAGACAAUCUCCAAAAAAGGAAAAGCAAAUGAGCAGAGCUGUUUCUGAGGAUAUGAAAUACUUUACAAUUAAAUAAGGGGCUACUAGAAAAAUUUAAAAAGACAUAUAUUUCUGUUGGACAGUGCUGGCCCAGACAGGACCUUCUCCAACCCUCAAGCCUCAGGCUGCUUUUCUGGUUCUAAAGAGCCCGUGUGUAUACAUUCAAAAUGAAUCAAUAGACGGAAGUAAUUGAGGAACGGUGCACAGAGGUGUUCAUGUGCACAUGGUUCAGAAGGUUGAAAGCACAAAAGUCUUUAUGGUCUUCAGUGGGUGAACAUCAGUAAAUAUGAGAACGCCUUUCAAAUUAAAUUUAAAUGUGAACUCUUCUGACCCAGUGUCUUUGUCUGCCCAGGCUGUCAAAACAAAACACAUGGACUGGGCGGCUGAAACAACAGAAAUUUAUUUCUCGCAGUUCUGGAGGCUGGAAGUCUGAGAUCAAAGUAGUGGACAAUCCCAGUCCUAGAAAAGGGCUCUAUUCCUGCCUUGCAGUCGGCCACCUUCUUGCUACGUCUUCACAAGGGCUUUCCUCUGUACUCACACCCGGAGAGAGAGCCAGAGAUGUCUCUCUCUUCCUCUUCUUAGAAGAACAAAGUCCUAUUGGGUUAGAGCCCCAGCUUUAUGUCAUCAUUUAACCUUAAUUACUUCCUAAAGACCCAUCUCCAAAUAGGAUCACAUUGAGGGUUAAGGUUUCAACAUACGAAUUUGGGAUGGGGGAGGC
rnacentral:lncRNA from 1 species